GUCUGCCACCAGGCCUGGCUUCUGUAGCUGGAUGCGACUUAGGGACAGCUCGUGAGAAACAGGCACGAGCUACGGCCUAAAAAACAUCUGAGAGUAGCAUCCACACAAGCCCUGGAAAGACCUCAGCUGUCAGUGCUACUGUCACCUGCCACAUCUCCCACGAAUACGAGGCAGGUAAGCAGUGUAUCCGAGAAGGUGAGCUCUGGGUCACUCCCUGUCAUGUGGCUUCAUCUCCUAAAGCUCUGGCUCUAUGGAGGGUUUUGAUGAAUAUUCCUGGCAGGACCCUUCUUAUAGCAGGUUCUCUGAGACACCAGGGUCACCGAAACCAAUCUCCUUCCAAGGAUCUUCAAGCCCAGACAAUGUGGGAUAAAACUGGAAAGCACUGCGGGACACAGUGAGACCUAGAGCUGAAGCAAGAGUGAUGCCUGGAGUUCAUGGGUCAGCCCAGACUACUCAGUGAGCACCAGACCAGCCAAGACCUGUCUCAAGCAAACAAGAGGUGGAAGCAAAGGGAAGCCUGCCGCUGACCCUGGAGAGUGGGGUGGCAACUCUGAAGACAGAAAGGAUUGGGAAACUGAAACAGAAGGCAGCUUUCAGGACCACAGCCCAGGAGGUAAACACUGGAGAGAUGGGCCAUGUCACACUCAGAAUUUCAAGACAGUAGAGGAAGACAUAACAGACUUCAGACUCCUCUCCCCUCCCCUC